GUCAACUGAGAAGUUUAGUUUCUCAUCUUCUAUUUUAAAUUUAAUGGCAGGCUCUGAGGUGCAACUGAGGAUUGGCUGGCCUCCAUCAAUCACUAGGAAAUUCGGUCAACACUCCUGAUGCAUUUUAUAUGCUCCCAUUUCUGAAAAUAUUCUAUUUAAGAACCAAGGGAAGUGCAAACUCUGAUAUUAUUUAUUUACAAAUCAAAUUGAAGAAAACACUCAUGUUUUAUGAUUUACAAAAAGCACUGGCCACUUUCAUAAAAAUUAGUGUUUAAAGGAUUACCAUUUAGAAAAUAGGCUUCCUGUUAAUAAUUCAUUUGAUACAUAUUUUAAAAUAAAAUAUGGCUGUUUUUAUUUGUUUGUUUGAGAUAGGGUUUGUUUGAGAUAGGGUCUUGCUCUUAUUUCCAGGCUGGAGUGCAGUGGCACAAUCAUGGCUUAUAGCAGCCUCGACCUCCUGGGUCCAAGCUAUCCUCCAGCUUCAGCCUCCUGAUUAGCUGCGACUACAAGCGAGCCUCACCAUAUCUGGCUAAUUUUCAUGUUUUGCAGAGAUGGGGUAUCUCCAAGUUGCCCAGCCUGGUCUUGAACUCCUGAGCUCAAGGAAUCCACCUGCCUCGACAUUUCAAAGUGCUGGAAUUAAAGGUGUGAGCCUCUGGUCCCUGCCCAAUUGUUG
rnacentral:lncRNA from 10 species